GAUCCUGGCUCAGGAUGAACGCUGGCGGCGUGCCUAACACAUGCAAGUCGAGCGAGAAACUUUUAAAUGAAACUUCGGUAGAUUUUAAAAGCGGAAAGCGGCGGACGGGUGAGUAACGCGUAGGCAACCUGCCCUUUGCAGAGGGAUAGCAUCUGGAAACGGAUAUUAAUACCUCAUAAUACUAAACUAUCACAUGAUAGAGUAGUCAAAGAUUUAUCGGCAAAGGAUGGGCCUGCGU
rnacentral:rRNA from 1 species